rnacentral:rRNA from 1 species
GACGCUAAUACCGAUAAGACCACGGUUCGCAUGGUACAGAGGUCAAAGGAGCAACCGCUUUGGGAGGGGCUCGCGUCCCAUUAGAUAGUAGGCGGGGUAACGGCCCACCUAGUCGACGAUGGGUAGCCGAGCUGAGAGGCUGAUCGGCCACACUGGAACUGAGACACGGUCCAGACUCCUACGGGAGGCAGCAGUGGGAAUAUUGGGCAAUGGGCGAAAGCUGACCCAGCAACGCCGCGUGAGGGAAGAAGGUUUUCGGAUUGUAAACCUCUGUCGCAGAUGACGAAGGAAGUGACGGUAAUCUGUGAGGAAGCCCCGGCUAACUCGUGCCAGCAGCCGCGGUAAUACGUAGGGGGCGAGCGUUGUCCGGAAUUACUGGGCGUAAAGGGUGCGUAGGCGGUUAAUUAAGUUGGAUGUGAAAUACCCGGGCUUAACCCGGGGGGUGCAUUCAAAACUGGUUAACUAGAGUUCAGGAGAGGGAAGCGGAAUUCCUAGUGUAGCGGUGAAAUGCGUAGAUAUUAGGAGGAACACCAGUGGCGAAGGCGGCUUUCUGGACUGACACUGACGCUGAGGCACGAAAGCGUGGGGGCAAACAGGAUUAGAUACCCUGGUAGUCCACGCGGUAAACGAUGAAUACUAGGUGUAGGGGGUAUCAACUCCCUCUGUGCCGCAGCAAACGCAAUAAGUAUCCGCCUGGGGAGUACGGCCGCAAGGUUGAAACUCAAAGGAAUUGACGGGGCCCGCACAAGCAGCGGAGCAUGUGGUUUAAUUCGACGCAACGCGAAGAACCUUACCAAGGCUUGAAUCCUGCUAAACUCAUAGAGAUAUGAGGUCUUCGGGGGAGCAGAGACAGGUGGUGCAUGGUUGUCGUCAGCUCGUGUCGUGAGAUGUUGGGUUAAGUCCCGCAACGAGCGCAACCCCUGUUGCCAGUUACCAGCACGUAAAGGUGGGAAUCUGGUGAGACUGCCGGGGACAACUCGGAGGAAGGUGGGGACGCGUCAAAUCAUCAUGCCCCUUAUGUCUUGGGCUACACACGUGCUACAAUGGCUGUAACAAGGGAAGCGACAGCGAGAG